AGCGUAGCUCAGGGGUAGAGCAACUGAUUCGUAAUCAGUAGGUCGACAGUUCAAUUCUGUCCGCUGGCUCCA
rnacentral:tRNA from 1 species